rnacentral:tRNA from 1 species
GGAGAGAUGGCCGAGUGGACAAUGGCAGCAGACUGUAAAUCUGCCGGCGCAAGCCUACGUAGGUUCGAAUCCUACUCUCUCCACCA